UCCAAGCAUAAAGCACGACCAGGUAGCCAA
rnacentral:piRNA from 1 species